rnacentral:rRNA from 1 species
CCUACGGGGUGCAGCAGUCGAGAAUCAUUCACAAUGGGGGAAACCCUGAUGGUGCGACGCCGCGUGGGGGAAUGAAGGUCUUCGGAUUGUAAACCCCUGUCAUGUGGGAGCAAAUUAAAAAGAUAGUACCACAAGAGGAAGAGACGGCUAACUCUGUGCCAGCAGCAGCGGUAAUACAGAGGUCUCAAGCGUUGUUCGGAAUCACUGGGCGUAAGGCGUGCGUAGGCUGUUUCGUAAGUCGUGUGUGAAAGGCGCGGGCUCAACCCGCGGACGGCACAUGAUACUGCGAGACUAGAGUAAUGGAGGGGGAACCGGAAUUCUCGGUGUAGCAGUGAAAUGCGUAGAGAUCGAGAGGAACACUCGUGGCGAAGGCGGGUUCCUGGACAUUAACUGACGCUGAGGCACGAAGGCCAGGGGAGCGAAAGGGAUUAGAUACCCCUGUAGUC